GCACAUCCGCCAUUUCCGGUAGUGAGUCAGUCGCCCUGAGUUUAGCAAGCCGGCAGGUCCGGUAAUUUUAACUUAAAUCAUCUGGAAGAUUAUAAUGGCUGGGCCAUUUAUUUGUUGAGCUUCUGCUUUUAUAAGCUGUACAAGUGAGAUUUGAUAAUGAAUUCCGGUUAUGAUGAUUAUAGACCCGAUGCGGUUUCUGUAUGGAAUUAACAAUCCUCCUAAUAUGCCAUCGGGUCUUAUUGUUUAGCUCUGGCAAUGUGCUAUUGUUUAUCUGUGAUGUUGGACCUCCGGCGGCAUAAAUAUAUUUUAACGUAAGAUGA